GUCCUUGCCGUAAACGAUGUGGAUUAGGUGUUGGGGGUGUCGAUCCCCUCAAUGCCGCCGUUAACACAUUAAAUCCACCACCUGGGGAGUACGGUCGCAAGACUGAAACUCAAAGAAAUUGACGGGGACCCGCACAAGCGGUGGAGCAUGUGGUUUAAUUCGAGGCUACGCGAAGAACCUUACCCAGGCUUGACAUGUUUUUGACAGUGCGUGAAAGCGCAUCUUCUCGCAAGAGACAAUUACACAGGUGCUGCAUGGCUGUCGU
rnacentral:rRNA from 1 species